rnacentral:tRNA from 1 species
GGAGAGAUGCGAGAGCGGUUGAAUCGGGCGGACUCGAAAUCCGUUGUGCCGCGUGCGGUACCGGGGGGGGGGGGGGUCCCACCCCCCCCG